GAGGAAGUUCAGCAUUUCACGGAUCAAAUGAGGGGACAAGCUUCCUACAAUCAAGAUCAGACUGUGAGGAAAAGAAAGCUGUUCUUGAUCUGGAAAUGAUUGAGAAACAGCUACAUCAAGUGAAGUGAGCUGCCUGACAUCACACAGCAAAGUCAUGGGAAUAGAAUCCACUUUGGCUAACUCCCAAACUAGUGCCCUAUGCAGAAGUCAAUGCUUCCCCUCACAGUCCUUGCCUUCCCUUUGAGUGCUCAACUCUUCCAAUCAGUUAGGGUGGGGGGAAGUUGGUAGGAUACUAUCUGUCAUUAUGGCUUAAUAAAAAAUUAGGUCACAAAUCA